rnacentral:rRNA from 1 species
UACGUAGGGUGCAAGCGUUGUCCGGAAUUAUUGGGCGUAAAGAGCUCGUAGGCGGUUUGUCGCGUCUGCUGUGAAAACCUAAGGCUCAACCUUGGGCUUGCAGUGGGUACGGGCAGACUAGAGUGCGGUAGGGGUGACUGGAAUUCCUGGUGUAGCGGUGGAAUGCGCAGAUAUCAGGAGGAACACCGAUGGCGAAGGGCAGGUC